rnacentral:rRNA from 1 species
CGGAUUGGAGUCUGNAACCCGACUCCAUGAAGCUGGAUUCGCUAGUAAUCGCGCAUCAGCCACGGCGCGGUGAAUACGUUCCCGGGCCUUGUACACACCGCCCGUCAAGCCAUGGAAGCCGGGAGUGCCUGAAGUACGCGACCGCAAGGAGCGUCCUAAGGUAAAACCGGUGACUGGGCUAAGUCGUAACAAGGUAAC